GGCGUUUGCACCAUUUCCCUUACCGCUGAUGAAAUAUUUGGCUCUAAUAUUCAGUCACUCAAAUAAAAGAAAUACUCACUCACUUUAUUCCAAAAAAAAACCUUACUCGCUGAAAUGGAAAAACUCACGCAAGAACCCUAACUCUUGAAUGUGGCCCUCCAUCGCAUCUCUCCAAUUCCUUCAAUCCCUAAAUCAUUCUCUCUAAUCACUUUGUCGUUCUCUCCAAUCGUUACCAUUCUCUUCAAUUUCAUCAACUUCGAAUCGACGCUGCCUUCGAGAAAUAGUUGUCGUCACCUAACUCGUUACACGUUCAUGUUGCUUCUUGAGGUUACUUACUUCGCAUGAAUGAUGAAUCCCAAGUUUGAGCACAUAUUGUGGAGCUAAGGUUCAGCUCAUAAUGUACACUGCAGCUGGUUUAUAGGUGGAACAUUGACACUCUUUAUCUCACUCUACAACUUGUUAAUGCAAAUUACAACUGAGAUAAGGAUAAUAGUAAUCAUCAUGGACCUCCAAGGGUGAACAUUUGGCAGGAUCCACUCUCCCCAUCUAGGUGGAAAUAAGAGCAUGUGAGUAACUUAUCGUUUUUAGAAAGUCUCACUACUACAAUUUUGCUUUACAAUAGCGCCUAUUUAAUAGCGCUUUUUGUGAAAACGCUAUUAAAAAUCACCAAAAGAUACCUAUAAUAGCGGUUUCUUGUCGGGCGCUAUUAUAUGUGACCCUCACAAUAGCGAUUUACGUAGAAGCGUUGUUAUAGCUUACUGACAAAAAUUUAUAGGAGUUUAUGAUAGCGCUUUCUUUUAAAUCGCUAUUAUAACUGUAUUCCUAUGUUAGCGCUUUACUUGAAAACGCUAUUAUAGGUGUUUCUAGUUUUUUAGUUGACUUAAAAAUAUAGUAAUAAUUAAGCGAACAUAACCUUCUUUUGAACCCUGAACCCUUUCCUUCAUCUUCACUCGGUUUCUUCUACCUCACCCAAAAACCUCCUUCAUCAACACUUAUAUCAUUUCAAUCAUAAUUCCUUCCAAACCCAGAAUCCUCAACCUCAAUCACGAACUCGUUGAAAUCCUAAACCCCAAAAUCUUAGAACUUGUUGAAACCAUAAUUCACUACAAGAAAAAUUGAAGGCAGCGACAGUCCAUUUGAGGCACUAGGAAGUCAACCGCGACGUUUAUUGCGGCAUUCAUUCAACCGCCGUUGGUGUGUGUCAAUCUCGGCAGUUCUAGUGGUAAAGCGGCGGCAGUCUAAUUGGGUACGGCGGCGGCUAGAUUAGGAAAGUGAAAUGAAAAUUUCACUCCCCUCUCUCUUAUUCUCUGGCACGAAAAUUUCACAUCGCACGACCCCUUGUUUUCAAAAUAGAAUGGUUUUCAAGCUUCAUCACUUUCUUCUCUGCUUGCUCGACCCCUUUGUUUUCAAUUUCAGGUGGUUGUUUUCAAUUUCAGGUGAUGAAACUUGCUCAACCUCUUGUUUUCAAUUUCAGUUGCUCCUCAGUCACAUGAAGGUCCUGAUGCUAGGGAGAAAAGGGAUGGUUUUGAGGGAAUUGAUGAAGGUUACACUAUUGAUCAUUUUGUGGAAUCUGGAAAUUAUGGAGAUAGCACAGCCAAUUUUAUGCUUCUGCUGGAUUUUUUGCCUCAAUUUAUCUAUAACUUCUAAUUGUUAAUCCUCAAUAGGUUGGUCAGGGUGCUCUUCUCCUGGAUAUUCUUUCAAAAUAUUGUGAAGGAAUUUCAUCACUCUAAUAAGAAAGGGAUGUCAUACACGCCAAUGAAAGUUACUUGCUUUGUUUGUGCUGGAGGUUCAGGUAUGAGCUUCAAAUUAAUCUUAAUUCGGUAUGUCAUGUUCGAUGAUGAUGCUAUUUUGUGCCCCCGCCGUUUUGGUUUCGAAAGUUUAAAGAUGUUGGUUUGAUUGAGUUUAUAAGAUGGUGAAUAAACAUUUUGGGGGUUCAAAUGUGGCCAACUAGUUUCUCUGCAGGAAAAUUGAGAAAACCAAUUCUGUUUUAAUUAAUAAUGCAUUUUUCUAUGAUGAUUUCUAAAAACUUGUAAACAGGAAUGUUUUCAUAUGUAUGCUAGGAUGAUCCCUAUUAAGGUUUGUUCAUGUGUUGGUUGAUUGGUGUUUGAGAUAAUAUGGUUGCUAGCUCUCUUAUAUUCCUGUGACUGAUACUUUGUUUGCCUUGUUUCAAAUUGAUAAUAUGAUCCCUAUUAAUGCUUUUUUUUUUGUGGUCGCCGCCUGCAUGUUUUUUUGUAGUGAUUCAUAACGCAGAACUCGUUGAAACCCUAAAACCUUCUUCCCCCAUCAUUCACCAUCGUCCAUCGUUCCAGAACUCGUUGAACCCAGAAAAUCUUCAUCGUUCUCCAUCAUUCAUUGCAAUUGAACCUGGUCUCAUCAAAACGUCUUUAGGUAUUUGGGUUUAUCUUAUUCUUCUUCUGCGUCUUCUGUAGCGAAAACUAGUUUCACUUCUCAGCUUUAAAUCACAUGUUAUUUUUCCCCUGUUUUAUGAUUAUUGCAUUCACAGUUUCGUUGCUGAAUAAAAAUCCUUUUUAUUGGAAUUUCUAACUGUUGCUUUCAACAUGAUGACCCAGAUGCAGGAUAAUUUGUUGGCACUCGAGCUUAUUGGGUUGUUACUUACUUUUCAGCAAAGAUCCUUCUUUAAGCAUUUCAAAUUUUUAUAUAAAUUCAUAGUUCUAUUUAUACUUUCUUUUUGAUUUUCGGUUAUUCAAGUGUGUGAAAAAAAACAAGAUUCUAUUUUUUUAUUUAUAAUUGAUUGAUUAUAAAUGAACUUUGACUCAUUCUAUUGCUAAUUGAGGAGAGAAAAAAAACAUGUUUUCUUCUCCAAUUAGUAAAGACUAGAUUGUGUUAGGUAGUUAUAUGAAUCUUCUUGAGAAGAUAAAGUGUGAACUUUGAUGGUCAUCUAGCCAUAGAAUUGAAGGUAAUUAAUUGGCAGAGUGAUUUUCCAACAACUCAGUUAGUUGCUUUUGUGCUAAGUAGAAAUUUAACAUCUCUGUCAAAUAUUAUAAGUGUUAUGCAGCAGUUUCAUCUGCCAGUGUGAAAGUUAAUAUGCUAUUCAUGUUAGAUUCUUACCAUAUAUCUUUAAAACUUGUGACAAAUUUCAUAUCCUCACUAAAUACACUUAUGUGAUUUAAUGUCUUUAUACUGAUGUUGAAGUGAUUUAUUUAGUAUUUGUCUGUCUCUUCUAUGGUCCAGGUCAAGUUGAAUCCAUCUCCUUGAAAAAAGGAGAUUUAGCUGCAGCAAAGAACCUGCUCAAUCUUCUAUUAAAUAAGGUUAUCUUUGAGAAAAGAAGCGAAAUAGGAAGAGAGAAGAGCUAGAGAGAAAAUCAAACAAAAGUUGGAUGAAUAGAAGGUUUACACUUUUUAAAUUGUUUUCCUAUCUUAGCUAAUUUAUUCAUAACAUUUUUGUUUAUUUUGAUGGUAAGACAUGAAUACAUUUAUGAUUUAUGUAUGCCAUUUAAAAUCCAACUCACAAUUCAACGAGCUUAGUAAUUUUGUUCUCUGCAUUUUCCUUUGGUGUCCUAUAUGAAGGCCUUAAAAUAUGCAGGGUGCAUGAUAUUUGAUAAUGUUAGCACCUUGACUUUUAGUUAUUUUCAUUUUUCUUGGUUUUAAAUCCAUGUUUUUUAGCGAUUUUCUUGGUGCACAAUGUGACUGUUGGUUGUCUUAAUUAGGCCUUUCAUUCUCUUUGGUGUACGGCCCUUUCGUUCUUGGUUCUCUAUUUUCUGUUAUAUUUUAUCUUUAGUCCACAACUUCUUCUAUUUUCUGACUCUACUUUUGUCUUAAACUAGCUCAUGGAAGUAGAAUAACAUCACACGCAAACAUUUAUCUACGAUACUAGGAGAACUUGUAUUCACCACGAGUUGUUGGUUCUUCGGAAUUCAAUGUUUCCCAUGUUCAUUUAUAGUGUUAGCAUAUUUCAUAAUGUGACUCCUCUAGAGCCUAUAAACAUGGAAUUCAACUUAUGCCAAUGUCUAUUUGUUUUUCUGCUGCUUUAAUACAGGCUGAAAUCAACACAUUUAAGAAGAAAGUUUCACAAAUUGAUGUCUUGAAGGAGCAAAUUGAAUUUCUAAUGCAAAUGCAAAAUGCUACCGAAAACUAGGUAAAAUUUCAUUCUAGUUCAUCACAAGCUUAAUUAGAAUACUAAUUAUAAUAUUUACAAUUGGUCCAAAUGUUUUAAGUUCUGAUUUAUGUUAUGUUAUAGAGCACAUUUCAAUUGUAAAGCAUGAUUUUGCAAAAGAUUUAAUUCAAUUUGUUAAUCAUUUUUGUUUCUAUCUAAUUUGAGUACACUACAUGAUGUGAACAUAGAGGAAGAGAAUAGCGUGCAACUCUUUAUCAUUUGGAAGUUGCCUUGGUGAUUUAGAUAUUAAAAUUGGAGAAUAACCCAGGUAAAUGCAAUACUCUGGUUGUGUUAAUCCCAAGUACUCUACCAAUUAUUCAAUAAUUAAGUGUUGUCUCACAUUUCUAAUAUGAUUUUUUAUAGUUGUUAAUUUGUAUGUGUGUGGAAUAAGGAAUACCUUUGUAAUGUUAUUUUAUGCAUUUAAAUUAGAUACAAUAUCAGACCAAAUUAUGGAGCAAUAUUGAUUGUUGUGUGCUUGGGUUGGAUUUUUCAUGCUAGAGUUGUUGGGUGCAUAAUAUGGCAUGUAUUGGCAUUUGCAUGGUGUUACUUCUCUAUGCAGGUUGCAAUUUGGAAUUGAUCAGAGUUGGUUUUGGUAUUUCUUUCGCUGAGAUGAUGGAGGAUAUGUUAAAGACUCGAAGUAUAGAAUGGAGUUUAUUUUGUGAAGGGUUGCCUCAUGUCCUGGCAUGGAGUCUUGGUCUAUAUGUUUUGGCCAUUUAGUCUUUUAUGAUUCUAGUGUUAUAGUCCAGUCAAUAUGGAGUCUUUGUUUACAUAUGUUUUGGCCACUUAGUCUUAUGUGAUUCUAGUGUCAAUAUUAGUGACUGGAUUGUGUUGUAACAAAUGGAUUGUGACUAUGUAUUUGAUUAUGAUUAAUGAAAAUCAAAGGUAUAUUUAUUCUUUAAAUUCCAGAGAAUGUCGAAAGCAAAAAAAAAAAAUACAAAA